rnacentral:rRNA from 1 species
GACGAACGCUGGCGGCGUGCCUAAUACAUGCAAGUAGAACGCUGAAGAGAGGAGCUUGCUCUUCUUGGAUGAGUUGCGAACGGGUGAGUAACGCGUAGGUAACCUGCCUUGUAGCGGGGGAUAACUAUUGGAAACGAUAGCUAAUACCGCAUAACAAUGGAUGACACAUGUCAUUUAUUUGAAAGGGGCAAUUGCUCCACUACAAGAUGGACCUGCGUUGUAUUAGCUAGUAGGUGAGGUAAUGGCUCACCUAGGCGACGAUACAUAGCCGACCUGAGAGGGUGAUCGGCCACACUGGGACUGAGACACGGCCCAGACUCCUACGGGAGGCAGCAGUAGGGAAUCUUCGGCAAUGGGGGCAACCCUGACCGAGCAACGCCGCGUGAGUGAAGAAGGUUUUCGGAUCGUAAAGCUCUGUUGUAAGUCAAGAACGGGUGUGAGAGUGGAAAGUUCACACUAUGACGGUAGCUUACCAGAAAGGGACGGCUAACUACGUGCCAGCAGCCGCGGUAAUACGUAGGUCCCGAGCGUUGUCCGGAUUUAUUGGGCGUAAAGCGAGCGCAGGCGGUUUGAUAAGUCUGAAGUUAAAGGCUGUGGCUCAACCAUAGUUCGCUUUGGAAACUGUCAAACUUGAGUGCAGAAGGGGAGAGUGGAAUUCCAUGUGUAGCGGUGAAAUGCGUAGAUAUAUGGAGGAACACCGGUGGCGAAAGCGGCUCUCUGGUCUGUAACUGACGCUGAGGCUCGAAAGCGUGGGGAGCGAACAGGAUUAGAUACCCUGGUAGUCCACGCCGUAAACGAUGAGUGCUAGGUGUUGGAUCCUUUCCGGGAUUCAGUGCCGCAGCUAACGCAUUAAGCACUCCGCCUGGGGAGUACGACCGCAAGGUUGAAACUCAAAGGAAUUGACGGGGGCCCGCACAAGCGGUGGAGCAUGUGGUUUAAUUCGAAGCAACGCGAAGAACCUUACCAGGUCUUGACAUCCCGAUGCUAUUUCUAGAGAUAGAAAGUUACUUCGGUACAUCGGUGACAGGUGGUGCAUGGUUGUCGUCAGCUCGUGUCGUGAGAUGUUGGGUUAAGUCCCGCAACGGGCGCAACCCCUAUUGUUAGUUGCCAUCAUUCAGUUGGGCACUCUAGCGAGACUGCCGGUAAUAAACCGGAGGAAGGUGGGGAUGACGUCAAAUCAUCAUGCCCCUUAUGACCUGGGCUACACACGUGCUACAAUGGUUGGUACAACGAGUUGCGAGUCGGUGACGGCGAGCUAAUCUCUUAAAGCCAAUCUCAGUUCGGAUUGUAGGCUGCAACUCGCCUACAUGAAGUCGGAAUCGCUAGUAAUCGCGGAUCAGCACGCCGCGGUGAAUACGUUCCCGGGCCU